AUUGAACGCUGGCGGCAUGCUUUACACAUGCAAGUCGGACGGCAGCGGGGUAGUGCUUGCACUACUGCCGGCGAGUGGCGAACGGGUGAGUAAUAUAUUGGAACGUACCGGGUAAUGGGGGAUAACCAAUCGAAAGAUUGGCUAAUACCGCAUACGCUCUGAGGAGGAAAGCAGGGGACCUUCGGGCCUUGCGUUAUUCGAGCGGCCAAUAUCUGAUUAGCUAGUUGGUGGGGUAAAGGCCUACCAAGGCGACGAUCAGUAGCGGGUCUGAGAGGAUGAUCCGCCACACUGGGACUGAGACACGGCCCAGACUCCUACGGGAGGCAGCAGUGGGGAAUUUUGGACAAUGGGCGCAAGCCUGAUCCAGCCAUGCCGCGUGUCUGAAGAAGGCCUUCGGGUUGUAAAGGACUUUUGUUAGGGAAGAAAAAGGAGCGG
rnacentral:rRNA from 1 species